rnacentral:rRNA from 1 species
UAGCAUUGCUGAAGCGACGAAGCAGUACCGGAAGGAGCUGUGGAGUUUCAGGAAGAGAGAAUGCCGGAAUGAGUAGCGAGAGAAAGGUGAGAAUCCUUUCGGCCGAAUAUCCAAGGUUUCCAGGGUAAAGCUGAUCUGCCCUGGGUAAGUCGGGGCCUAAGGCGAGGCAGAAAAGCGUAGUCGAUGGACAGCAGGUUGAGAUUCCUGCACCCGUAAUGAACAGAACUGUAGUGACACGGAAGGUAAGACAGAGCCGGGAAUGAGAAAACCGGUGCAAGCACAAUAGAUGUGUGGGAGGAAAAUCCCCCGCAUAAGUCGAAGGUGUGACGCGGACCGAAAAAGAGUAGGGAAGCUGUUAAGCAAGCCGUCAAGAAAAGCUGCUAUUGUUUCAUUAUGGCCCGUACCGUAAACCGACACAGGUGGAUGGGGAGAGAAUCCUAAGGCCGGCGGAAGAAGUAUUGUUAAGGAACUCGGCAAAAUGACCCCGUAACUUCGGGAGAAGGGGUGCCUGCGAGAGCAGGCCGCAGAGAAGAGGCCCAAGCAACUGUUUAGCAAAAACACAGGUCUAUGCAAAACCGAAAGGUGAGGUAUAUGGGCUGACGCCUGCCCGGUGCUGGAAGGUUAAGGGGAGUGGUCAGGAAACGAAGCCACGAACUUAAGCCCCAGUAAACGGCGGCCGUAACGAUAACGGUCCUAAGGUAGCGAAAUUCCUUGUCGGGUAAGUUCCGACCCGCACGAAAGGCGUAAUGAUUUGGGCGCUGUCUCGACAAUACAUCCGGUGAAAUUGAAGUGCCAGUGAAGAUGCUGGCUACCUGCGCCAGGACGGAAAGACCCCAUGGAGCUUUACUCCAGCUUGAUACUGGGACCCGGUAUUGCAUGUACAGGAUAGGUGGGAGGCUAGGAAAUGUGGACGCCAGUCUGCAUGGAGCCGCUGUUGGGAUACCACCCUUGUGGUGCUGGGUUUCUAACCAGAGGCCGUGAACCGGUCUGGGGACAAUGUCAGGUGGGGAGUUUGACUGGGGCGGUCGCCUCCGAAAGGGUAUCGGAGGCGCCCAAAGGUUCCCUCAGAAUGGUUGGAAACCAUUCGAAGAGUGCAAAGGCAGAAGGGAGCUUGACUGCGACACCGACGGGUGGAGCAGGUACGAAAGUAGGGCUUAGUGAUCCGGUGGAAUUUAAGUGGGAAUGCCAUCGCUCAACGGAUAAAAGCUACCCUGGGAUAACAGGCUGAUCACUCCCAAGAGUUCACAUCGACGGAGUGGUUUGGCACCUCGAUGUCGGCUCAUCGCAUCCUGGGGCUGAAGUCGGUCCCAAGGAUUGGGCUGUUCGCCCAUUAAAGCGGUACGCGAGCUGGGUUCAGAACGUCGUGAGACAGUUCGGUCCCUAUCCGGCGUGGGCGUAGGAUAUCUGAGAGGAGCUGUCCUUAGUACGAGAGGACCGGGAUGGACUGACCUCUGGUGUACCGGUUGGCGGUCAACGCCACGGCCGGGUAGCCAUGUCGGGACGGGAUAAACGCUGAAGGCAUCUAAGCGUGAAGCCCCCCUCAAGAUGAGAUAUCCCAUCGUAAGAGUAAGACCCCUUGAAGACGACGAGGUUGAUAGGGCAGGGGUGGAAGUGCUGUAAGGCAUGGAGCUGACUGCUACUAAUCGGUCGAGGGCUUGACCAA